UACGGAGGAUGCGAGCGUUAUCCGGAUUUAUUGGGUUUAAAGGGUGCGUAGGCGGGUUAUCAAGUCAGCGGUAAGAUCGUGGAGCUCAACUCCAUCCAGCCGUUGAAACUGAUGAUCUUGAGUGGGCGAGAAGUAUGCGGAAUGCGUGGUGUAGCGGUGAAAUGCAUAGAUAUCACGCAGAACUCCGAUUGCGAAGGCAGCAUACCGGCGCCCGACUGACGCUGAAGCACGAAAGCGUGGGUAUCGAACAGG
rnacentral:rRNA from 1 species